rnacentral:rRNA from 1 species
UGCAAGCGUUGUCCGGAAUUAUUGGGCGUAAAGAGCUCGUAGGCGGCCUGUCACGUCGACUGUGAAAACCCAGGGCUCAACCCUGGGCCUGCAGUCGAUACGGGCAGGCUAGAGUGUGGUAGGGGAGACUGGAACUCCUGGUGUAGCGGUGAAAUGCGUAGAUAUCAGGAGGAACACCGGUGGCGAAGGCGGGUCUCUGGGCCGAUACUGACGCUGAGGAGCGAAAGCGUGGGGAGCGAACAGG